GAGAGAGAGAGGGACAAACAUCCUGAGAAGGUUCAAAUAAAACUCUUAAUUAACCCGAUAAGUUUACCUCACUGACUAUAAAGAGGAGGAGAAGAGCAUGGAUCUGACAAGGAAGAGAGGAGAUAAGGGGAUAAGGAGACAGGGGGGAGAGAGAGGAGAUGAGGAGAUAGGAGGGAAAAAAGGGGGGUAAGGAAACAAGGGAGGAGAUAAGGAGACAAGAGAGGAGAUAAGGAGAUAAGGAGAAAGACAGGAGAUAAGGAGACAGGACACAAAAGAGAGGAGAUAAGGAGAAAAGGAGACAGAAGAGAAAGAGAGGGGAAAAGGAGAUAAGGAGACAGGAGAGGAAAAGAGGGGAUAGGAGAUAGGAGAGAACGAGAGGAGAUAAGGAGACAGGAGAGGAAGAGAGGGGGAAAGGAGAUAACUCAACUCAACUUUAUUUGUUAAGCACUUUAAAACAACCACAGCUGUACAAAGUGCUGUACAUAACUACACAAAACAACAAGAUAAAAAAACAAUCAAAAAACAAUUAAAACAAUGGAUAAAAUAAAAGCAGAAUUAAAAGUAUUGUUUCAAUGCUUUUAAAAACUAAUUUAAAAACAUAGAAACAAAUAACUAAAAACAAACCAUAAAACACUAAAACAGGAGCUGAGUCUCAUGGAGGGUUAAAAGCCAAUGAAUAAAAAUGGGUUUUAAGACGAGUUUUAAAAAUGGACAGUGUGGGGGCUUCUCUAAUUUGGAGGGGUAGCUCGUUCCAUAAAAUUGGGGCUGCAACAGAAAAGGAUCUAUCCCCUCUGAGCUUCCGUUUGGACCUCGGAACCUGCAGGAGCAGCUGAUCAGCUGACCUGAGGCACCGAGCUGGGGUGUAGGGGUGGAGAAGCUCAGAGAGGUAUGAUGGAGCCAGACCAUUUAAAGAUUUAAAAACAAUAAGGAGACAGGAGAGAAAUAGAGGAGGUAAGGAGAGGCAGGGAGGAGGAGAGAGGAUGUUGAGGGUGGGAUGAGGGGGGUAAGUGGUUGAUGGAGGCAGAAAGUGGUGUUAGUAGAAGGUGGUGUAAACAGUCCUGAACGUUGCUGCUGCUGCUGUGACUCUGGAAGGUUCCUGGUCCCCCUUCUCUAUAAAUCGUUCCUGCUCAGUGUCUGAAAACUGGGACACGGUUCUUCUCAUCUUCUCCAUCCAGACCUCCAACAUCUACACCGACAGAUCCUGGGGCUGAGUCUGACUCUAACAGGAUCUUUUUUAGGGUGAAAUGAACCUUUACCUCCGAUCAGCUGAUCAGACCUGGACCUGGACCUGGACUACCAGGUUUGUCCAUGAACUCAAACCCAGGUUCUGCUGACAUGACAUGAUGGAGGUGAAGGUGAGAACAGGUGAAACACUGAAACAGACGAUCGUGGACAUCCAUCCUUCACACACACUCCUGCAGCAGGAAGUGUUCUCAUAUAUCAACACAGGUCCUCACGUCGACAUAAAUGUGAGAACAUCAUAUCGCCCUUAGCAAAACACACACACACCUGAGUUUGAUAUGAGGAGACGCACACAUGACACAGCAGAGUGGAGAGAGGAGAGGAGAGGGGAGGAGAGGAGGAGAGGAGGGAGGAGAGGGGAGGAGAGGGGAGAGGGAGGGAGAAGAGGGGAGGAGAGGGGAAAGGGAGGGAGGAGAGGGGAGGAGGGGGAGAGGGGGAGGGAGGAGAGGGAGGGAUGCUGGGAACACAAUGUUCAGAUCUCAAACAAACACUCAGAGAUUCAGUGUUUGAGUCGAGAGCUGCUAUCCCAGAGUGACCUGCUCGUUCGGAGUCCGAUCAGCUGACAGGAAGUAACAGACCGGGGGGGUCGGGGUGGGGGGUUGCUGAAGUGCGGUCUGACUCUGAUUCCUGUCCUCGUACCCUGGACUUAAACUGCUGCUCACUGUACAUAGCUCUCUGUCAGCUGACGGCUGUAGUGACAUCACAGACCUGGUUGCCGUGGUUCCUGACAGACCAAUAAACUGUCUGCUCUGGGCUGCUGUGGAGGUCUGCAGACACUAGGGGGAGUCCUGGACCAACAUCAGUCAGAGACUCGGUCUGAACUGGGGGUCUGAAGGUGUUUGGGAUCCUCUGAGUUUUUUUUCUGGAAGGUGGCGCUAAAACGUCGCCGUACAGGAGAGAUGAUGGAUGGACAUCUCUGACCUUCAGGGUUAGGGGUUCGAGGAAUCGGCCUCAGAGGGAAGUUUGGAUGUUGGCGCUCGCCACCACCGCCUCACUGAUGACUGAGUGGAGCAAAGGCGUGCAGCUCAGGACUCCAGAGCUGUGUAAAGAGUAACACCCAGGACGGCUGUGUGUGUUCAGUCAGCUGGUUAAACAGGAUCAGCUAAGGCUGCAAGGUUCACUCCUCCAUCAUCAUCGACGCCGUUUCAAAGACCGCUCUCUCACUCGUUUCCAUGACACUUGAGAAAACCGAAUUAUCGCCUUAUUCCGAUUAAGACCGGACAACUAAAGUGCAUGUAAACACCUUAGUCUGAAACUGAAUGUAAACACACUGAGUGUCUGUGUUUGACUUCCUGUUUGUGGCUCUUUCAAAAUAAACCUCAGAGGAGGGUCGUCUGUUAGCUUGUGUCAUUCUCGGUGUUAUGUGGCCCUUACAUAAUGACGCCUGAUUUAGCUCAGGGGGACACGGCUCCUGUCAGAUAGUUUCCAAGUUGAGUCAUGGUCUCAGAGAGGACUUCAUGGACCCUAAAAACACAACGGAAGUUAACAACGCAAAAGAAGUAGUGGUGUAGAAAAAAAAAGUUAUUCACUGCAACAGAAGUGAGCUGCCGAGGACCAAUCAUGAAAAAAAGCAAACUUAUUUUUUAUUAGUAACGCUACCGAGCUCGAUUCUCCUCUGGUGGGUGGGCUUCUGGGGCGUAGCGGGUUUCCCGUGUUAGCCGAAGCUAACACUACACCAACAUCCUCCAGUUCAACUUCAUAUGGACUCAGGCGCUACAUGGUCGAACCACAUGACGCAUUAAAAUGUUUACAAAGCGAAAUUAAACAAAAACCUUUCCACUAACUUCUUUGUUCGUCUUCUCGCCGUCGUCUUCUGUGCCUAGAUCGUAAAACACCGGUGCAUCAUCAUUACUGGUCCCUGGCGGCUCACUUCUGUUCUGGCUUUUUUAUUUGUAUUCUUUUAUUUUCGUAGUAAGAGUUUUUUUUAUUAAUUUAUAUUUAUUUUUUUUGCGACACUGUUUCUUUUUUUAUUUGCAGCGGGCUUCAGAUUCAUUUUUUUUUUGCAUCGGUAACCUCCGUUUCAACUUCUUUUUAUUGCAUUCUUUUUUAUCUGCUGCAGUGGCGGUUCUCGGCCACCGUACAUCAUAUUAGUUUUAUUCCUACAGGAGAGGCUGAGAGUCUACAAGACGACAACGACAGUCAGCUGAAGAGACGAGCAGAUAUUCAGAGUAAGAGAGAAACAAGGAAGGAGGAGGUGUGUGUGUGUGUGUGUGUUGGCUGCAGAGCAAAUACCUCUAAGCUGGCUCCCGCUGAAAUCCUCACGUGCGGCUCACAUCUAAUCAAGGCGUGUGUGUGUGUUUAAGUGUGUGUGUGUGUGUGUGUGUGUGUGUGUGUGUUUAAGUGUGUGUGUGUGUGUGUGUGUGU
rnacentral:lncRNA from 1 species